rnacentral:rRNA from 1 species
UUCCGGUUGAUCCUGCCGGAGGCUAUUGCUAUUGGGGUUCGACUAAGCCAUGCGAGUCGAGAGUCAUUUGGACUCGGCGCACUGCUCAGUAACACGUGGUCAAACUGCCCUGUGGAAGGAGAUAACCUCGGGAAACUGAGGAUAAUAUCCUAUAGGUGCCUACAGCUGGAAUGCUUUGGCACUCAAAUGUUCCGACGCCACAGGAUGUGGCUGCGGCCGAUUAGGUUGACGGUGGGGUAACGGCCCACCGUGCCCAUAAUCGGUACGGGUUGUGAGAGCAAGAACCCGGAGAUGGGAUCUGAGACACGAUCCCAGGCCCUACGGGGCGCAGCAGGCGCGAAACCUUUGCACUGUGCGAGAGCGCGAUAAGGGAACCCCAAGUGCCCGCGCCAAGCGUGGGCUUUUCUGUACCGUAAAAUGGUACAGGAAUAAGGUCUGGGCAAGACCGGUGCCAGCCGCCGCGGUAACACCGGCAGACCAAGUGAUGGCCGAUAUUAUUGGGCCUAAAGCGUCCGUAGCCUGCCGGGUAGGUCCAUCGGGAAAUCCGCCCGCUCAACGGGCGGACGUCCGGUGGAAACUGCCUGGCUUGGGACCGAGGGACCCGAGGGGUACGUCGGGGGUAGGAGUGAAAUCCUGAGAUCCUCGACGGACCGCCGGUGGCGAAAGCGCCUCGGGAAAACGGAUCCGACGGUCAGGGACGAAAGCCAAGAUCUCGAACCGGAUUAGAUACCCGGGUAGUCUUGGCCGUAAACAAUGCUCGCUAGGUGUGACGUAGGCUACGAGCCUGCGUUGUGCCGAAGGGAAGCCGCGAAGCGAGCCGCCUGGGAAGUACGUCCGCAAGGAUGAAACUUAAAGGAAUUGGCGGGGGGAGCACUACAACGGGAGGAGCCUGCGGUUUAAUUGGACUCAACGCCGGACAUCUCACCGGCCCCGACACUGGGAGUGAAGGUCAGUUUGACGAGCUUACCAGACCCAGUGAGAGGUGGUGCAUGGCCGCCGUCAGCUCGUACCGUGAGGCGUCCUGUUAAGUUAGGCAACGAGCGAGACCCGUGUCCUUAGUUGCCAGCAGCACGUUCUGCGUGGCUGGGUACACUAAGGAGACUGCCUCUGCUAAGGAGGAGGAAGGAGCGGGCAACGGUAGGUCAGUAUGCCCCGAAUGGGCCGGGCAACACGCGGGCUACAAUGGCACAGACAGAGGGACGCGACCCCGAGAGGGGGAGCCAAUCNCUUAAACUGUGUCGUAGUUCGGAUUGAGGACUGAAACUCGUCCUCAUGAAGCUGGAUUCCGUAGUAAUCGCGCCUCAAAAAGGCGCGGUGAAUAUGUCCCUGCUCCUUGCACACACCGCCCGUC